GACCUGGUAGCUCAGUGGUAGAGCAUCUGACUUUUAAUCAGAGGGUCGCGGGUUCGAUCCCCGCCCGGGUCACCA
rnacentral:tRNA from 1 species